CACUGUUGGUCACUGUUACCAUUACACACUUUUCAUAAUUUUGUCUACAGUUUUUCUCAGAGAAAUUGAGCAGACAGAACACUGACCUGUCCAUGUGCUAUAAUUAUGUGUCUUUGGAUGGAUUCUUUGUAUGAUGAAAAAUCUACUCUUUGAGAAAUACCAAGGUGAACCAAGAAAGACGGUGUAAAGAGAAAAGGACUGAAGCCCAUUGCCAUUACAAAUAAUCUUGGAAGCAGGAUGAAUUUCAGCAUGUUGGUGGUUCUUAAUCAAAUCUUUCUCUUUUGUUGGAACACACACAUUAUCAAGAAAGGCAACACACCAGAAGAAUGAAAAUCCUUUCUGGAUUGAGGUUUCCUCAUUAUUCAGCUGCCAAAUCCACAGAUACUGCAUUCACCACUUUUGAAGGAGGUUUCAACUUACAUUUGGCUUCAUGCUGCUUCGGUACUCCCUCUGUACUUUGAGCUGUCAUGCAUUGGAAGAGCUGGGAAGAAACAAUUAAAAUUAUGGCCAGCUUUUCCUUCUGAUGAUAUUGGCUCGUUGUUUGCCACCACUAUUUGGUCAGGAUGAAACUACUGGGAAAAAUAACCUUCCUGAAAAUGCAAAGUGCUGCCAGCUUUAAAGUGAAAUGACACAAGACUAUGUUGAUAUAAGUAUAUGAAGAUGGCAGGUAUCUGAACCAUGUUGCCUUACUACAUGCGAAGUAUUCGUUUUUACUGUAUGCCAAAAGACAUUGAGUCCCAGGAACAGGUCCAGAAAGGGCAACGAAACUGGUGAGAGGUCUGGAGCACAAGUCUUAUGAAGAGCAGCUGAGGGAGCUGGGAUUGUUUAGUCUGGAGAAGAGGAGGCUCAGGGAAGACCACAUUGCACUCUACAACUUCUUGAGGGGAUGUUGUGAUGAGGAGGGGUUUGGCCUCUUCUCCCAGGCAACAAACAGAGCCCAAGGAAAUGGCCACAAGUUGUACCAGAGGAGAUUUCAAUUAGACAUAAGUGGCAUCUCACCAAAUUGUUAAAAUAAAAUGGGAGGAGGGAGACUGUUCAUGACAGCUCAGAGGCCAUGCCUGUUGCAGAGGAGAUACUGGCUACUGAGUCCCUGUGCAGUAGAAACCACUUCUGAUUUUUAGGUGGGUUUUGUCCCUUUUUUUAUUCCUGAAGGUCUAUGAAUUGAUUCAGCCGAAUGAUCCUCCUGCAAGUUUGUCUCAGACAAGAUAUGUCUUCCAGCCUACUUCUGCCAUUGGAAAUGCUACUCAGGAUACUCUAGACCAUGAAUAUCAUUAGGCCAAGUCAUGCCAUAAAGGUUUCCCCAGUUAAUAUCUUUCUUGGAUUUUUUGUUCACAUGUAUUUUAUAUCUAAAACUGGAACAUCUGAUUUACCCAUCAAAGUGUAACAAAGAAUGACAAUAAAUCUGACAUGGUCAGCUGUAUGCUUUGUGUUUUGUAGCAUCAUUUGUAUACUCAUAUUCAAAGUCUUCCUCUGCAUCUCCAUGUUGUCCCAUUUCUGGGGAUCUUUUCCCA
ensembl:lncRNA